rnacentral:lncRNA from 1 species
UUUUGUUCUUUUACUUAAGAUAGUGUCUCACACCACAGUCUGAGCUACCCUCGAACUUGUGGCAGCCCUCUUUCUUCGGUCUCCGGGCUACUGGGGUUACUGGUUGAUCCCACCACAUAUUCCUUGAUGGACUACAACUGUAACGUAUAAGGAAUGGGGAGCAACCACUGUGAGGUCACCAACACUUCUGCCUGGAGAGGUCCCUGAAACUGAUACUCACUGACUCUGCUAGGAGGCGUCAUUGGGAAAAGCAUCCAGCUCACAGACGCUCUCAAUCCUUUGUCCCAGUUAUAAAAAGGUUAACAGAGAGAUGGCUCAGCGGUUACCAGCAUUGGCUGUUCUUCCAGAAGACGAGGGUUCAAUUCCCAGCACUCACACAACAGCUCAGAGCCUUCUCUAAGUCCUGUCCCAGGGAAUCCAACACCUCCUGGCCUCUGAAGGUACCAGGCAAGCAAAUGGUACACAAACUUACAUGGAGUAAGACACCCAUACACAAAAGAAGGAAGAAAGUUAACCAUCUGAUUCUCGAAGAGUCAGACACCCUCUGACUCUGUCUCGCAGAGUCAGACAUGUUGGUUUAGCUGCCAACAUGCCGAGGCUCGGUCUCCACCUGAGCAGACACCCACAGGUGCACUGGCUGGCUUCAGGAGGGCCUGCUGUCCAUGAUUCUACGACACUUCCGGAGGCAUUGAGAACCCUUCCCC